CGAACGGGAAUUACUUUAUUGAAACUUCGGUCGAUUUAAUUUAAUUCUAGUGGCGGACGGGUGAGUAACGCGUGGGUAACCUGCCUUAUACAGGGGGAUAACAGUCAGAAAUGGCUGCUAAUACCGCAUAAGCGCACAGAGCUGCAUGGCUCAGUGUGAAAAACUCCGGUGGUAUAAGAUGGACCCGCGUUGGAUUAGCUAGUUGGUGGGGUAACGGCCCACCAAGGCGACGAUCCAUAGCCGGCCUGAGAGGGUGAACGGCCACAUUGGGACUGAGACACGGCCCAGACUCCUACGGGAGGCAGCAGUGGGGAAUAUUGCACAAUGGGGGAAACCCUGAUGCAGCGACGCCGCGUGAAGGAAGAAGUAUCUCGGUAUGUAAACUUCUAUCAGCAGGGAAGAUAGUGACGGUACCUGACUAAGAAGCCCCGGCUAACUACGUGCCAGCAGCCGCGGUAAUACGUAGGGGGCAAGCGUUAUCCGGAUUUACUGGGUGUAAAGGGAGCGUAGACGGUGUGGCAAGUCUGAUGUGAAAGGCAUGGGCUCAACCUGUGGACUGCAUUGGAAACUGUCAUACUUGAGUGCCGGAGGGGUAAGCGGAAUUCCUAGUGUAGCGGUGAAAUGCGUAGAUAUUAGGAGGAACACCAGUGGCGAAGGC
rnacentral:rRNA from 1 species